GAUCAUGGCUCAGAUUGAACGCUGGCGGCAUGCCUUACACAUGCAAGUCGAACGGUAACAGGUCUUCGGAUGCUGACGAGUGGCGAACGGGUGAGUAAUACAUCGGAACGUGCCUAGUAGUGGGGGAUAACUACUCGAAAGAGUGGCUAAUACCGCAUGAGAUCUACGGAUGAAAGCAGGGGAUCGCAAGACCUUGUGCUACUAGAGCGGCCGAUGGCAGAUUAGG
rnacentral:rRNA from 1 species